CCUUGCUCUGGCCUCGGGAGUUGUCGGCUGCGCGCAGCGCGGGCUCUCCGGCCACUUCCCCUCCCCCCAUCCCGGCCGUGGCCUCGCGCAGUCCGCAGGCGUCGCUUCUGCAGGUCGGUCCCCAGGUGAGGACGGGAGACAGGCCGCGGGCCCCGCGAGAAAUGGAGUCCAGGAGGGGGCGGGCGUCAUGAGGCCGCCAGGGCAGGUCUGGCCUCUACCGCCACCCUCACUCCCACCUCCAUUCCGGUACCCGCAGCUGGCCUCCGGCUGUGGGCCGGAUAAAGUGGGGGGUUACCCUGGGGACGUACUGUUGGAGAAAUACGGUACGGUGUUUCUGCCUAGCGAUCACGGUUACCCUCGGGAAAGUGCACGCUCGCUGCGCUGCGCUGCCACGGAGCCUCCCAGCCUCCAGGACGGCCUAGGGCGUCUGACCCCUGCCUCGAAUCAGUGACACCCCCAUGUCAGGGACACCUUCCUGAGGACCGACCUGUGCUUCACUCUCAGGCUGCUGUGGUCCGCAGCAGUCCCGGGACGCUUUGGCACUCCGCGCGGAGAUGGGAAGAGCGAGGCCCAGAGGAACUUGCCCAAGAGGUGGCAGUGAGCCGACGGUGCCACGCACCCUGCUAACGCCCUUUAACUCACACUCCUGUUGGAUCCUCAGCCUACAGAUGAAGACAUGGACUGUGAGGGGCCACGGGUCCUCCCCGGGUGACUCGGCUGAAAAGAAAGUUGAGGCCAGAGAGGGGCAAUUCACCCAAGGUCACACAGCAAAUGCACUGGCAAAGACAAAAAGAGAACAGAGAACUAUCUCGCUCCAGAGACUUCUCUUCUCCCAUCCCAGGCUGUAGAGCUUGGCCCCAGGACAGCGUCCCCACUGUUGCUUCACCCUGCCGCUCCUCCCAGGCCACCUGUACCCUUCCCUGCCACUCAGAGAGGAUCUCCCUGUCAGGAGUCAGGAUGGAGCCAGAACGGCUGGAUGCAGCAGAGGCGGACCCCCACCUCAGACCUCACACCAGCCUGCAGUCCUGGGACCAGCAGUCCUCACAAGACCACCAGCGCUCUCACUGCUGCAUCUACCCCACCUCCGUGUACCCGGGAAGGGGGAAGCAUCAUCAUCCAAGCUGGCUGCUGGCCUAGCAACCCCCCUCCUACUUGGUCCAUGCUACAGAUGGGAAAACAGAGGCAUGGUGAAGUCACUUACUAGAAAUCACACAGCCCAGCCGGCAGGAGGUGGUGCUCAGGUUCCGGAAAAUAACGAGGUCAUGGGAAUUUGGGAGGCGUCUGCUGCUUCCUGGAGAAGGCUUUGAAACCCUGGGAAGGGGCAGUAGGAGAAGGGUCUGGAGAAAGGGUCCCCUAGCAAGGUGUCAGGUGGGAGCCUGGAGGGGGUGGGUCAGGGCAUCAGACCUCACACAAUUCCCAGGGCAGGAGACAGAUGAAGCCCAGCUCCGGCAGUGACACCUGGCAUUCGCCUCUUCAGCAUCUUCUGUCACUCAGUCCUUACUGUCCUUACCCCCACACCUCUGGACGAUCCCACUGCACCUAGGCCUAGGGGAUCUUGCAUGGCUCUGGAGGUCCAAGUAGUGACCAGCAGCCAAGUGGGCACAGGCCUGGGGUUGAGCCAAGCUUCCAGCCCACUGUUGGGAGGGGGGAGGCCCAGGACAAUGAUGUGACACUGGCUCUGAGACUAGCAGCGUUGUAAAUAAGAGAGGAAUCCAUCUCGCACCCACCCACCAGGCCAGACUGCUGCCUGCCAGGCUCCUUCCCUGCAGGGCCUUGCCCUCUCCCACAUGACGACUCACAGCUACACGUGGGCUCUAGCCCGUGGGAAGGGGAAAGAAAAAGGGGAGGGAUGUCUCUGCCCUUUAAGGCCACCAUGCAGAAGGAGCCACUGUCACUGGGAGAAAACAAGGUUGGGGUGUGAGCUGUGUGGCCGGGUUUGUGUCUGUCUGCCAGUGGGGCUGGGAAGCCAGACACUUGCAGUCCUGUCCUGUCUCCAGCUGCAGAGAUCAGAGCGAGUCACUGUAUAUACUCUGUGGCACUGUUUUCCUCUCUGCACCAAACGUUUGGCCAAAAUAGCCUCUGAGGGGUCCUCAGUGGAAGACUCUGAACCAAUAGUCUCUCGAGGCCAUUGAGGCACAGUCUUGGGGAAGGAAAGGUGAAAUCAGGCUGUGGGUGGCUCCCUCGACUGUACUGGGAGGCCAGGGGCAAGCAAUGCACCCCAGGCCAUUGACACAGCCCCCGAGCUCCCAAACUUUCUUGGAAAAUCUUCUAUGAACUGCUGCUAAUACGUCAGGUAACUUUUUUAUUAAGUGCUUGUUAUACACCAGGCUUGGAGCUAAGGGCUAGCAUUUAUGAGUAUUUUCUAUAUGCUGGGCAUUAUUUUAAGUGCUUUACAACUUCCACUUCGCUUAAGCCACACAACUUCUCUGUGAUACAGGCGCUGUUGUUAUCACCACAGGAAUAGCAAACCUGUAAAACAAGAACCAACCACUAUGAAAAAGGAGCAUUCAGAGAACAGGAAAGAACAUUCGAAAACGUAAGCGUUCACAGUAAUCAUGAAAGCCCAACCAAGACUGAAUAGCAGAAUGGACACACCUGAGAACCAAAUCAAAGCGA